CCAUCCUAAUGGAGAUGCUAAUGCCAGAAAGGCACAACGGUCCCAUUUAUACUGUGUUGGCAUGUGCCUGAGCCUAGGUAACAAAGGUUAGAGCUGUGUCCAGAGGUCUGGUUUGGGUCCUACCAUGUGCUCCAGCUAGCCCAGAUCUUGAAGGUUACUCUGAGCAUCAGCUGAAGCAAUCUGAUAGACCAUAUCACUGCUGAGCAAAUGGAGCCCAAGCCCAGUCUGCCUGCAUUGGAUGGAGAGUAGAUGUUAUCAUUGCUGCUGCCUCACUGGAGUGCUGAGCUUCACUCUGAGUUAACGCUCAGGGCAGGACUGUCUGGGAAAGGCUUCCUGUGCCUUUCCAUCAGGUUCCACGCUGCUUUCUGCUCGUGGCUUUUAAUAAGAGGAGAGGAUGUGCUAUCACUGCUGUGCAGCUCUAGGUGCUGGGAUCUGGGGAAAUACAUCUGUGUGCCCUUUCAAGGUGUAGGGAUGGCUUCUGUGUGGCUGUGGAGAGCCGAGAAAAGCCUGCUGAGCCAGGCAGCCCAUGCAGCUGAGGAAUCAGAGUUGGGAAACGAGGUCUCAAUGGGUGUCCAUCCAAACUGUGCUGUUCCUGCACAGAGCUGAAAGCCUUCUCCGUGGAACCAAUUAGACUUGUUAGGCCUGACAAAGUCACUUCUACAGCGCUGAACAAAUACCAGUGAGGUUUUAAUUUCCUCCCACAAUUGCUUGUGAUACCAGAAAACAUCAUCCAGUUUUGUUUAUAUUCGAGUAGCUCAAGUACAGCAAAAACAGAAGCAAUCAGAAAAGCAGCAGCAGGUUUAACAGAGAAAUGUUCUCUCAUAAAGCCUUCUGACUUUGCACAGGCUAGAUGCAAUCCCUUGGUAGAUGACAUUCUUUGCAAUAGGGUUUUAAUUGGCCUCCGACAGCUGCAGCAAGAUUGCUUCUGGAGUACCUGAGCUGCUGUUUCCAAUGCUGGUUCCAAUCUCAGUGUCGCAGUGUGCCAUCAGCACAUCUAACCAUGUUGAAUGGAGCAGGCUGGCCUCUGCUAGUGCUGAUGAAGAGAGAAACUCAGGUUGAACUUUUUAGUAAUUCCUCGUGCAUCAGCCUGUUUAUUGAAGAUGCCUAUAAAGGAGCUCAUCUAGGGAAGAGUAAUUGGAAAGUUCUGGAAAUGGAGCUCAUUCCAAAUGUCUUGGGAGUUACUGUGAAUGCCUGGUUGCAGUUGGAAACUCGAAGCGAUGACUUUAAUGGAUUAAAGCUGAUUCUGAAAGAAAUAUUACUGACUAUUUUAGAACAAUUUUCUUUAUAUGGAACUACUCGAGGCCUGCAAGCCUAUCUGGUGCCUGAAAGGAGGAAUGCUUUCUGUCACAGCAGUCCCAGAUACCUUCCAUUGAGCUUCCUUCUUGCUGUUUGCAAGCUGUGGUGAGCUGAAACAACUGUGCAGCAGUUACAUGCAAAUCCAUCCCCCCACUCUUCUCCCAGGGCUUAUCGAAAUAGCAGAGGAGUUGUCACACAUCCCAGAGUGGCAGAAAUGAUCAUCAGCGUUGACGUUCUGGGUGAGCAAUGUGCAGUGGGAAUUCAGGAAGCCCUUUAAAAAGUCUGGAUGUCUCCUAGGCUUUGCUUUGCUUUCAUUCUCUGCACAAAAAUCCCAACUUUUUUUUUUGGUAUUUAUUCUGAAAAUCGGCAGCCUAUAGCAGGAGAAGUUGCUAUUGCAGGAAGAAACAAGUUGACAGCUGACUGCUGAAAGGGCUGAUCCUGCAGCUGGCGUUGGUAUUGUGCUAACUUGCACCACAACUGCAGAGAUGUCUUAAGGGCCAAGAAGGAAGAAGAAGUUGGGCCGUCACAAAGCAUCUCUUCAGGGAAGGGAAAGGCUGUGGGAAGCUGCAGACGUGGCCGUGUUUUUCCUUGGGCUCUGUGUUGCAGGAGGCAGUUGUGCUGUUUGCACGUACAGGGGACGAUUGUGGUGAUUCCCACUGCAUGGAUAGCUCAGUGCUUCUGCUUCGUUUGCUUCUUCCUACGCUUGUGCAGCGUGGGUAGGAUGCCCUAAGGAGAAAAAAACAAGAUGAAGGCCACAUAAAAAAUUAAAGGAUUUUUUAAAAUUAAUAAUAAUUAAAAUGAGAUCUCAUGUGUUUAUAUUGUUAUUGGGACCAAACUGUUGGAGCAGCUCAACG